CUCUUACCGAAGAUUACGCUAGAAUGACAGGUAAACCGUACGAAAAAGUAUUACAAGAUAUGG
rnacentral:tRNA from 1 species